rnacentral:rRNA from 1 species
UACGGGGGGGCAAGCGUUGUUCGGAAUUACUGGGCGUAAAGGGCUCGUAGGCGGCCAACUAAGUCCGACGUGAAAUCCCCAGGCUUAACCUGGGAACUGCGUCGGAUACUGGAUGGCUUGAAUCCGGGAGAGGGAUGCGGAAUUCCAGGUGUAGCGGUGAAAUGCGUAGAUAUCAGGAGGAACACCGGUGGCGAAGGCGGCUUUCUGGACGAUAACUGACGCUGGAGACGCGAAAGCGUGGGGAGCAAACAGG